rnacentral:tRNA from 1 species
AAAAAAAAAAAAAAAAAAAAAAACAGGUCUCUUAAACCAUUAUAUAGUAAAUUAGCACUUACUUCUAAUGA